UUGCAAGAUAAACCUCGAAUUAAGUU
rnacentral:sRNA from 1 species